GAAUAUUAGUCAAUGCUCGAAAGAGUGAACUAGCUAACUGAAAUCAAUUAUAAUAAUUGAUAACAUAAGGAAAAAUAAUGAUAUUACCUUAUUAUUAGUGUCGUCCAAAUCUGGUGCCAGAAGACUCGGUAAGGCCAGAGACACAAACGUUAAUCGUCUUAAUCAGGCGUAAAGGGUUUGUAGGCAGCUUUUAAAAAACUUAAAAAGUUAAAAAAAAGAAUUUAACUUUAAUAAAAUAAGUUAAGAAUAAAAGCUAGAAUCAUAUAGAGGAUAUAUCAAAUAAUGCUUAGAGUAGGUCUGAUAUCCUUAGAUACUAAGUAGAAUAUUAAAAGUGAAAGCUUUUUUCCAUUAAAGAUUGACGCUCAGAAACGAAGGUGAGGAUAGGAAAUAGGAUUAGAUACCCAAAAUACCCCUCUCUGUCAACGAUGAAUGGUAGUUAUUAGUAAAAUUAAUUUAUUAAUGGCAAUGUUAACACGAUAACCAUUCCGCCUUGUGAGUACAACUGCAAAGUUGAAAACAAAAAAAUUAGUCGGUUUCGGAGCAAACGAAGUGAAGCAUGUUAUUUAAUUC
rnacentral:rRNA from 1 species